GAAUUCAACUCCUACGGGAGGCAGCAGUGGGGAAUAUUGCACAAUGGGCGGAAGUCUGAUGCAGCGACGCCGCGUGAGGGAUGACGGCCUUCGGGUUGUAAACCUCUUUCAGCAGGGAAGAAGCUUUUAUCGGUGACGGUACCUGCAGAAGAAGCACCGGCUAACUACGUGCCAGCAGCCGCGGUAAUACGUAGGGUGCGAGCGUUGUCCGGAAUUAUUGGACGUAAAGAGCUCGUAGGCGGCGUGUCACGUCGGAUGUGAAAGCCCGGGGCUUAACCCCGGGUCUGCAUUCGAUACGGGCUCGCUAGAGUUCGGUAGGGGAGAUCGGAAUUCCUGGUGUAGCGGUGAAAUGCGCAGAUAUCAGGAGGAACACCGGUGGCGAAGGCGGAUCUCUGGGCCGAUACUGACGCUGAGGAGCGAAAGCGUGGGGAGCGAACAGGAUUAGAAACCCUAGUAGUCCAGGCGUU
rnacentral:rRNA from 1 species